GGGGAUUUAGCUCAGUGGUUCCACCACCUGCCUCACAAGCUGAGGACCCGGGUUCAAUCCCCGGUACCCCCC
rnacentral:tRNA from 1 species